AAGCAGGGGAACGGCAGGGUAGGUAGAGUACCUGGAACAAGUUUUAAAUUCCUUGUCAAGCUGCCGGAGCGCGCGGGUACGCGUGUGCCCGGGCCGGCCGCAGCUGGGCACGGCCGCGGGCGGGGCGCGGCGCGGCGGGCGGGCCAGCCAGCCCGGCGUUGGCCGGGGGGCACGGUCGUCCCCGCCGCCUCGGCCCACGGCUCGGGGUCGGCAGCGAACAGCUCGGGGAAAACUUUCCGGAGGGACGGGGCCUGCCGAGGCGCGGGGCGACCCCGCCGGCCCCUCGGGGCAGAGGGCCGGGGCUGUCUCCUCCCUCACCGGGAAGCGCCGCCGCGCCGCGGCCUCCGCCGCCCGGGCGACCUCCACCGAGCGACCUCGGGGAGGCGCCGGGGGCAGGGCCGGCGCGUGUGUCAACACGGGGCCGCGACGCCGGCCCGGCCCCGGCAAUGGGCGGCGCCGGGGUGGGAGCGCGGCAGCCUCGGCCCGGCGCUCCCCCGCCGCCAUCGCCGGGGCCCGCCCGGGGCCGCCGAGCUCCGCGGUCCCGCAGCCACCCACCCGCGGCCCGCCGGCAGCCGCAAGGUCGCUUUCACCUCGCCCGCAUCCCCGCGGUGCUGCGGGCGGCGCUCCCCGGGCGCCGGGCCGCCCCUCGCCGGGCACGGCCGGGGCGGACGGACCGGGGCACCUGGUGCCGGGGCGCCGCGAAACCCGGCGGGGGAACCGCCCGGCCGGACCUCGCUGGUUCACACAGUUCUCAUAAUAAGGAACUUGAAACGAAGCAUGUGUUGGAUGAGAGACUGCAUGACAUUAAACGUCCUCUGCAAGAACCUCAGCUUAUCUUUUAGGAGGGCGGGUGGAGAACUUGAUCAGAGGAAAAGCCCUCUCCAAUUACAUCACCACUGAAGCAAAAGCAGCACAUGCAGCUCUGCAUUGCUUACUUCAGGCUGUACUUGCUGUGAGGCUGAGUGCUGCAUCCCAGUGAGCCACAAGGCCUGGUGGGAGAGUAUCGAAAUCAGCAGGUGCCACAGCAGCUGACUGUUUUUUGAUUUUUUUAUGUAUACAAUACUUUAAAAAAGAUGCAUGCAAAAGCAAGAUGCCAGAAGUGCUUUUUAUUUUCUUUAUUGCAGGUUUAAGAAGGUAUCAUCUUCAUUCUUGAAGUUGUGGAGUAAAUUUUCAAAUUAACAUGUGAGGGGGGGAGUACUGAGAGGAUUUUUUUCCUGUAUGUGAAAAGCAAGUUGAUCUAAAAAUAUGGCCCAUUUAGUUAAGUGUUCAGAAAUAUUACUCUUUUCAGUUCUAUUUUUAUAAACAGCUUAAAUAAUAGUUCCUUAAAAAACAUCCUUAUUACUAUAGUACAUCCUAUGAUGGAGGAUAAUUGCUACUGAAUCUUCUACUUUUUCAUCUGUCAAUCAAUCUAUAUGAAACUCAGAACAGCUUUGUGAGAAUUACAGAACAAACUUCAAGUAGAGUGAAUUGUCUGAAGCCAAAGGAAAUGCAAAGCAAAACAAAAUACAAAUGAC
rnacentral:lncRNA from 1 species